UUAGGUGGUGCACUAUGGAAAAGGCCAAUUGUCUUGGGUUUUAUAGCCCAUGAGCAAAAUGAAAGGGGGGAAAAGACUGAACUCAGUCUCAUUUCCCUCACUCAGACUCUCCCUAUUCUUUCAUGUCCACGUCACCUGAAAUCACCACCACCACACCGGAAAUCUCCUCCGGUAAUGGCAUGACCCAGAACCACAUCUAACCACCACCAUUCAACUCCUUUCUCCAUACCUUAAUCAUCCUCAACCUUCGUUUCUCCCAAUAAAACACCAUAUCCUUCAAUCUACCCCUAACCUUGAAACCCUAGAACACUUCGAAUGAAAAUUAAAUGCCAAUAAUCCAUGGAAUUGGAGCAAAACCUUAGGGGUUUUAUUCAAUAACGCAUGAGCUAUAAUAUGGUAACAAAGAUGCAGCAGUAAGAUUAAUAUUUAGAGGGACACGAAGACCUAUCUACGAAACAGAGGUUCACUUUGGAGGGUAUCGUAAAGCUUGAAUAUGAUUAUCAAGAAACCCAGAAAGGAGGCUCCAACUGAUUCCAAGCAUUGGAUGGCUGGUGUGACUGUCUGGUAGCUAGUCUGACAUAAAGUUUGGUGGUUUUUCAUGCCAAGGUACAAGGCCCACCAUGAUUUUAGGCAUGAAAUACACAUUUAGGCACAUGGUCAAAAGAUGAAAGAUGAAGAUGAAUAAAACUUGGAGACUAUAGGAGAAAUAGGUAUAGGGUAGAAAGUCAACGUUUGUCAACUGUUUGACCAAAAGUUAACAGUUGACCAAAAAUUCAAUUGUGACUAAGAUGCAUAUUUUUUAAUGUACUCUCCAUUUUUGCAACGUGAUCUUGAAUUUGAAAUGGAUCUUGACUUUUGUAAAUGGUAGUUGAUUUUUUAACUUUCUUUUCAAGUAAUAAAAUAUGUUUCCCUCCA